rnacentral:snoRNA from 1 species
CCCAGCUGUAGGCAACUGCCUAGGUUAUAUUGUACCUAGGCAAGUAUUACACUGUUGAGAGAAAAGCAGCUAAUAGUUGGUGGGCAUCCUGGACCUGAUUAAUGCUACAAA